UUUGCCCCAAUGUAUGUGCACCAAGUGCCUGCUGAAUGACAGCGGAGGUCUUCAAAGCCCCUGGAGUCAGAGUUGCUGAUGAGCAGCCAUGUGGAUGCUGGGGACUGAACUCAAACACUUCGCAUGAGAAGCAAACGCUUUUUAACUGUUGAGACAUCUCUCCAGUCCCUAUCAUUGCGUUGCGGUUACAGGCAGGAUCUCUCUGGUAUGUAUGCAACCCUGGCUGACUUGGAAGUCACUAAGAAGAGGAGACCGCCAUCAACUUUGCAGUGAUCCUACUGCCUCCGCCAGCAGCACACGCUGGAGUGGAGGUGGAGCUUUCGCGCAUGCUGAGUAAGCUUUCUUGAGGGCAGAUAACCCAAGUGGAGCUGUAAUCCAAGGAGAGUCAGCAGUCUGUCUGAGAGUCACUGUCAAAUGCUGGUCAAGGGCGUCUGUCCCUCCAACCACCUGGCCUGGGCUAACAGGGCUGCACAGACUUAGAUGGGUGGAGCCAAUGGAAGAGGAGCAACUGGGAACCGCAUUCACGAACCUGCUGAGCGCCUUUAGAAUGGCUCGGGUGUGCCCAGGCAACACUGUGCCUCAGGAAAAGGGGAGCGUGAUGGAAGCGGAGAACUUAAUAAAUACCACAAUAUAGAGAUGAACUAGGUGUUGGGGAUUUAGCUCAGUGGUAGAGCGCCUGCCUAGCAAGCGCAAGGCCCUGGAUUCGGUUCUCAGCUCCGAAAAAAAAAAAAAGAAAAAAUGAACUAAAUGUCAGGCUAUAAAGCACCCAUGAUUGACAGCACGUGUGCCUAGCCAAAAAUUUAUCUCCACUUCCCAAAUGUGUACCACAAUGCCUGGAUUUUUCUUCUUUUUUUCUUUUUCUUUUUUUUUUUUUAGGGGGGAAGAGGGGUGCGGGGAUUAGAGAUAUGCACCACCACAACUGGAGUUCUAGUAUUUUUUUUUUUUUUUCGGAGCUGGGGACCAAACCCAGGGCCUUGUGCUUGCUAGGCAGGCGCUCUACCACUGAGCUAAACCCCCAACCCCUGGAGUUCUAGUAUUUUCUUUCUUUUUUUUUAAACAUUUCUCUUAGUUUUAACUGGAUGUGGUAGCACAUGCCUUUCAUACCAGCACUCUGGAGGCAGAGGCAGGUGGAUCUCUGUGAGUUUGAGGCCAGCCUGGUCUCAGGCUGGUUUCAGGAUAGUCAGGGCUACCUAGAGAGGCCCUGUCUCAAACAAACAAACAAACAAACAAACAAACAUUAAUUUUACUUUGGGGGCUAGAGAGGCUCCCAGGACCCACAACAAUACACUGCCUAUAGCUCCAGCUGCAGGGACUGUGGCCUCUAAUCUGAGAGCACCCACAUCCAUGUGCACACACCCACAAAAGAGAGAGGGGCUCAAACCCAUAAAUUAAAAAAAAACUUUAAAAAAAAAAGUAUGGGUAUUGCGACUUAUGUGUGUGUCCGCAGGUGCCCAUGGAGACCAGAAGAGGGCGCUGCAUCCCCUGGAGUUACAGGCCAUUAUGACAGCUGGCAUAGGUGCUGGGAGAGUAGCCAGUGCUCCUAACUGCUGAACCAUCUCUCCUGCCCCAAAUCUGGCUUUUUAAAUGCAUUUCUGAGAGCUGAAUUCAGACCCUCAUGCACAGCAGGCACUUUAUUGACUAAGCUAUAUACCAGGGCCGAAAACUUAUUCUUUAAUAGACCCAGGAGGACUGUGGUCAAAGGGGGAACUUUCCAGAACUCAAGACCUCAGCAAUGAAGGAGUUGUAGAGGCUGGUAAAGUCUGGGAAAGAGCCACUGCAUUCAAGCUUGCUAGGAGCUGACGUACAAUCAGGGCAAAGGCACAGGGUGAUCUCACUCAAAGGAACAGACAGCACUGACACUGGAUAAACAGGAGAUAGCAGCAGUUCAGUGAGGAACCAGACUCUCAAAUCACAUAUCCAGAGCAAACCAGCUUCCUUUUCUUGUCUCUGAAUACAAUUCCUACCUGAUGGUGUGCUUCUGAAAGUAAAACACGUGAAUGGGUUCAAAGUGCCUCGCCUAGGACUUCAAAUGCACCCCAGUGUUCAGCAGGCCCAGGUUCCAUGUGGUCUCACCUCUGCCUAUGCCGUCGACCUUAUUUGCUUUUGUUUGGGGGGCUUUGUUUUGUUUUGGAUAGGGUCUUACUUUGUAACCUUAGCUGGCUUUGAACUCACAUAGAUAAGCCUGCCUCUGCCUCCCAAAUGCUGGGGUUCAGGGUAUGCCCCACUGCGCUCAGGCCUGAUUUAUUUCUUUGAGUCAGGGUCAUAUGUAACCCAGGCUAGGCUGGAGUUCACUUUUUUUAAAAGAUUUAUUUAUAUUUAUUAUAUAUGAGUACACUGCCGCUGUCCUCAGACACACCAGAAGAGGGCAUCAGAUCUCAUUACAGAUGGUUGUGAGCCAUCAUGUGGUUGCUGGGAUUUGAACUCGGGACCUCUGGAAGAACAGUCAGUGCUCUUAACCACUAAGCCAUCUCUCCAUAGGCUGGAAUUCUUUUUUUUUUUUUUCCCGGAGCUGGGGACUGAACC